AGAACAGGAAGACUGAGCAACUAUGCGAAUGUCAGGAACUUGGGAGGAGAAAAAUGAAACUGAGAACAGAGUAUAGAAAGGCCUGAUUGGACCACUGCAGGAAAUUGUGAUGAAGACCCUCUCUUCAAGGAACAUCUCUCCAUACAUGGAUGUCCUCUUUGCCCAACAAGCAAGUAAUCACAUGAUACAGGGACAUCCAGAAGCCUAACACAUCAGAUAAGGGAAUUAAGACUCCCAUCAUCACCUCCAAGGUCUUUAUGUCUACAUUUCACUAGUCAUUUUGGAAAUCAUAAAUACAUGAAAGUCACUUCACCUUGUAUCAACAUCUGGUAAAAUGAGUGACUGCCCUGUAUAGACUUUAUGACUAAAAUUUCUCCAAAAGACUUGCACUAAAACACAUUGGUUAAAAUCACAAAUUAGUUGAAAACAAAAACCUUUCCAGUCACUGUCUUAAAAAAUAUGUGAUUUCUGCGUAUCAUGAGACUAUUUUUCAAUUUUUGAGGCUACAAUUAAUUUCAAGCCAUUUCUUCAGAAAGUAUUUGGUUAGAGAAUCAUUUUUCUUAUACUUGUUUAGAAUAAUAGUUUAUAUUUUAGUACUUUUGUUUAUUUUUCAAAUCUCAUAAAAUUAUCUUAAAUUAAUUGGUUAAUAUUUUCAGAAAUUAUAAAAUAAUAUUUCUCUAAAUAAAGUACCCAAAAUAA